rnacentral:lncRNA from 1 species
UUCAACGUCAAGUGGCAUUUUCUUAGCCAAAUUCAAAAAUACUUAAUAAUUACGAUUAUUAUUGUGCGCCAUGAGCCUUAAGUGGCGGAGAAUGAGUGAGAAUGGAGCAUUCCUACCCUUACUCUGAUUAUUUUGGACGCAAGACGCUUGACUUGUUGUCUAGAAUAAUCACCUCCGCCCAUAGACUUUAGUACAAUAUAAUCACAAACAUUC